rnacentral:lncRNA from 1 species
AAAAAUUGAUAUUUUUUUUUUGAAACACAGAAAAAUUGAUAUUUUUUUUUUGUCAAACUUUACAGACUCAUAUAGAUUCUGUGAACCAAACUGGGAGAUCUUGAUCCAUGUGAACUACAAAAGACGUUUCUUUCCUAGCGCUACGGGCUAAGCUAUCCGCCUUCUUGUUCUGCGUUCUUGGUACAUAGAUAAUCUCUGCUCGGUAAAAACUCUCUUUCAAGCU